GCUAACUCCGUGCCAGCAGGCGCGGUAAUGCGGAGGGUGCAAGCGUUAUCCGGAUUUAUUGGGUUUAAAGGGUCCGUAGGCGGACUUAUAAGUCAGUGGUGAAAGCCUGUCGCUUAACGAUAGAACUGCCAUUGAUACUGUAAGUCUUGAGUAUAUUUGAGGUAGCUGGAAUAAGUAGUGUAGCGGUGAAAUGCAUAGAUAUUACUUAGAACACCAAUUGCGAAGGCAGGUUACCAAGAUAUAACUGACGCUGAGGGACGAAAGCGUGGGGAGCGAACAGGAUUAGAUACCCUAGUAGUC
rnacentral:rRNA from 1 species